rnacentral:rRNA from 1 species
UACGUAGGGGGCAAGCGUUGUCCGGAAUUAUUGGGCGUAAAGAGCGUGUAGGCGGUCCGGUAAGUCAGCUGUGAAAGUCAAGGGCUCAACCCUUGAAUGCCGGUUGAUACUGUCGGGCUAGAGUCCGGAAGAGGCGAGUGGAAUUCCCGGUGUAGCGGUGAAAUGCGCAGAUAUCGAGAGGAACACCAGUGGCGCAAGCGGCUGACUGGCCGAGACCUGACGCUGAGACACGACGGCGUGGGGAGCAAACCGG